rnacentral:rRNA from 1 species
UGAACCUACGGGGGGCAGCAGUGAGGAAUAUUGGUCAAUGGUCGGGAGACUGAACCAGCCAAGCCGCGUGAGGGAUGAAGGUACAGAGUAUCGUAAACCUCUUUUGUCAGGGAACAAAGGCGGGGGCGUGUCCCCGGAUGAGUGUACCUGAAGAAAAAGCAUCGGCUAACUCCGUGCCAGCAGCCGCGGUAAUACGGAGGAUGCGAGCGUUAUCCGGAUUUAUUGGGUUUAAAGGGUGCGCAGGCGGAAUGGCAAGUCAGCGGUAAAAUUUCGGGGCUCAACCCCGUCGUGCCGUUGAAACUGGU